rnacentral:rRNA from 1 species
GAUGAACGCUGGCGGCGUGCCUAAUACAUGCAAGUCGAACGCACAGCGAAAGGUGCUUGCACCUUUCAAGUGAGUGGCGAACGGGUGAGCAACACGUGGACAACCUGCCUCAAGGCUGGGGAUAACAUUUGGAAACAGAUGCUAAUACCGAAUAAAACUUAGUGUCGCAUGACACAACGUUAAAAGGCGCUUUGGCGUCACCUAGAGAUGGAUCCGCGGUGCAUUAGUUAGUUGGUGGGGUAAAGGCCUACCAAGACAAUGAUGCAUAGCCGAGUUGAGAGACUGAUCGGCCACAUCGGGACUGAGAAACGGCCCAAACUCCUACGGGAGGCUGCAGUAGGGAAUCUUCCACAAUGGGCGAAAGCCUGAUGGAGCAACGCCGCGUGUGUGAUGAAGGCUUUCGGGUCGUAAAGCACUGUUGUAUGGGAAGAACAGCUAGAAUAGGGAAUGAUUUUAGUUUGACGGUACCAUACCAGAAAGGGACGGCUAAAUACGUGCCAGCCGCCGCCGUAA